CUUAUCCACACCACUCUCUCAUCUCCUCUCAACUCACUCACUCAAACCCUCUCGCCCUUUCCCCUCCCCCGCCGCAUCACCGCCCGCGUCGACGAGCAGGCAGCCGCACUCUUCCGCCCGCCGACUACCGCAUCGGUGUCCUGCAUCGACGGACCUUGGUGCUGCGUGCUGUAUGCUGUGCGACCGAGCGAGACGGACGGGGCGCGCUUCCUGGAGCACCUGCGGGUGCUCAAUCUGGUCCCUUUCCGGUCGGAUCUGCGCCGGCGCUCCUCUCCGACGAUGUCUCAUGUGGAUCCGAAGUGAGGCGUCCCGAUCUGCAACGCCACAGCUCCGGUACGCCACUCCCCAGACCUGCCAAAUCCAUUCAACGCACGCUGCUCCGAUCCGCCCCCUCAUCGUCUUCUUUGAAUAUUUGCGUCCCCGAUCUCGUUCCUCUUGUCUUUUUGUGCUGCUGUGGCGUGACCAAACCUCACAUGCACGGCGAGGACGUCGACUGCUGGGGCUUGGUUGGCUGCUGCUUCGGAUGAUGUAGAAGGCAAGUGAACAGAGGCAGUUGGUGGGAGAGAAGUUGGGCUUGGGUGAUGCGGCGGUCGGAGAGAUGCUGUGGAGGAGUUGGCCGGCGCAUGCGUGACCUGUGCCGCCGGGGAAAGCGAAGCAGCAGCAUCAUUUUGCUAAUGGGUACCUCAACGAGAGCACAAUGCUCUGGGCGGAGGGGGGGAGUGAAUGGAUGCCAGUAUCUUUGAUUCCAGAGCUGCAUUCUGGGGUCAAAAAGAAGGUUAAACCUGAACAAGAAAAUGUAGAUGAUUUUGAGAAAUUCCAGAAGGAGGUUAUAGAAGCUGAGUCACAGGUGGAAGCGCUGAAAGCAAAGGAUGUAGAUGGUGACUUAAGCAAAGAGCGUGUCAUUGAUGAUCCCGAUGAGCGGCCAGCAUCCCCACCAGAUGGUGUGGAAGAAUUUACUGAUGAUGACGGCACCAUCUACAAGUGGGAUCGUACUUUGAGGGCAAUGGUUCCUCAAAUAUUCAGUGAGUAAAGAGGGCAGUGGAAGGCAGCAACCCAACCCCAGGAGUUCCUUUGAACCCUUCAGCGUUAAUACAAUUAUGCUUACACAGAUCUUGAGAAGCAGGAUGCUAUAAAUGUAAUAUUGGGAAAUUUCUAGCCUCAACAAAGCAAACCUCCUCUUGUGGAAGUUGGACUGAGAUCAGCAUUACAAUAUUGGCCGCCAAGGAACUCUAAGUGAAGAAACUGGAAGGUCUGGCUGUUGUGAUGGCCGAAGGAAGAGCAAGGAGGGGGAGGAGGGAUGGCAGAGGAGGUUCCCAUAUAUAGGUCGACAUCGACUGAGUACGAGCGGUCGUAGGUCACAAGGGGGCGUGGAACUGCUGCAACCCAUCUGUGACAGAGCAGACUACAGCGACUUUGCACAGCUAGGCGCCGUGACCCGGCCUCAGUCGCAGGGCCAGGGCGAAGCUGUAUCCUCGACGCCCAAGACACGACCACGGUGGUGCAGCCUGUGGUGAGACAGAGAAGACUCCAGCGACUUGGCCCAUCCAGUGCAAAUGUGUUCCUUGAUCAACUAAACUUGGUGAAUGUACAAUCAGGGGGAGCCUUGAAGCCUUCUCAUGCAAAGCAUGCAGGAAAUGAUCGUUGGAUUUCAGUAAGACUUGAAGAUGAGGAACACAUACAACAUAAUCAGCUGGUUAUCAGAAACAUCAUGAGCAUGACAGAGAAAUGAGGAUCAUGUGCGAACUUGAAGAUCAAAGGCAAUUGAAGGAAUCCUCGACGGUUGGUUUAGGAGCAGGCGAGGAUUCCUAUUGCGGCCACAGAUCCUACACAUGGAGUUCAAUGAAGACCAAGUGCUUGUGAAAGUUGUAGAAGUAACAUAUUUAAGGUGGUACAAACUCUCUUCACGGAGCGAGGUGGGACUAAAUUUUUGUAGUAACCUUAGUAGUAGUGAUUAUUUCUUAAAUGCGAUGCUGCUACAAUCCGUAGCAGUAGCGCCCUUUGUGCUAGCGCGUUGCUGCUAUAAUUGGUCUCGCAGCGGCGUCGUGGGAAUUUUAGUAGCAGCGCGUCCUAGGGUGUGCGCGCUACUGAUAAACUUGUACCAGCAACGAGUUUUGAAAGCGAGCGCUACUGCUAAGUAGCAGCAGCGCCUGAUUUUAAAACGCGCUGCUGGUAAGAUUCUGUGUAUAGGCUUUUCCCUAGUAGUGUGAAAGAACAAAUUUUUACUCGGGUUUAAAAUAAGAAGCCGAUAAUGCAAAGUAUAAUGGUAGUGAUCUGCAGCUAACAAGUGCAAAUAAAGUAUAGAUGGAGUUUAGGGCUGCCAGAACAAACUCUAAUUCCUCCUCGUCUGAGGAAACCAUGACGUAGUUGUAGAUGUACUCGACUGCGUCGUCCACUCCAUCAAAAAUAGGCAUUGCAGCCAUUACCGCGGGCAGAAAGUCAUCUUAGCACCAGGAUGAGCGAGCAAGGGGGCAUUGGAC